CCUACGGGAGGCAGCAGUGGGGAAUAGUGCACAAUGGGGGAAACCCUGAUGCAGCGACGCCGCGUGAGUGAAGAAGUAUUUCGGUAUGUAAAGCUCUAUCAGCAGGGAAGAAAAUGACGGUACCUGACUAAGAAGCCCCGGCUAACUACGGGACAGCAGCCGCGGGAAUACGUAGGGGGCAAGCGUUAUCCGGAUUGACUGGGUGUAAAGGGAGCGUAGGCGGCACGGGAAGCCAGAAGUGAAAGCCCGCGGCUCAACUGCGGGACUGCUUUUGGAACUCUCUAGCUAGAUUGCAGGAGAGGUAAGUGGCAUUCCUAGUGUAGCGGUGAAAUGCGUAGAUAUUAGGAGGCACCCCAAUGGCGAAGGCGGCUUACUGGACUGUAAUUGACGCUGAGGCUCG
rnacentral:rRNA from 1 species